CAGCCGCCACGGUAAUACAGAGGGUGCGAGCGUUAAUCGGAUUUACUGGGCGUAAAGCGCGCGUAGGCGGUUACUCAAGUCAGAGGUGAAAGCCCGGGGCUCAACCCCGGAACUGCCUUUGAAACUAGGUGACUAGAAUCUUGGAGAGGUCAGUGGAAUUCCGAGUGUAGAGGUGAAAUUCGUAGAUAUUCGGAAGAACACCAGUGGCGAAGGCGACUGACUGGACAAGUAUUGACGCUGAGGUGCGAAAGCAUGGGGAGCAAACAGGAUUAGAUACCCGAGUAGUCCCUGUCUCUUAUAC
rnacentral:rRNA from 1 species